CUUAACACUUACAUUUUUUAGAUAAACAAAUCAUUUUUCCCCUCUAGUAUGGGCGACAGAAAAAGGCCUAUGGCGCUAUAGAAAAAGUACCGUAAGGGAACGCUGAAAGAGAAAUGAAAUAACCCAGUAAAGUCUCAAAUAGCAGAGCUUAAACCUCGUACCUUUUGCAUCAUGAUUUAGCCAGUGUAAACCAAGCAAAACGCACUUUAGUUUGACUACCCGAAACUAUGUGAGCUACUCCAAGACAGCCUAAAUUAUAGGGCGAACCCGUCUCUGUGGCAAAAGAGUGGGAAGAUCUUCGAGUAGGGGUGACAGACCUACCGAACUUAGUUAUAGCUGGUUGCUUAGGAAUCGAAUAGGAGUUCGGCCUCCUGGCUUCUCUAUUCUCCCAGUAACUUAACUGUUAGGAUGACAAGAAUACCAGGAGAGUUAGUCAAAAAAGGUACAGCUUUUUUGACAUAAGACACAACUUUUGCAGGAGGGUAAAGAUCAUAAUUUUACUAAGGCACUAAAUCCCUGUGGGCUUAAAAGCAGCCAUCUGAACGAAAAGCGUUAAAGCUUAGACCAGCCUCCAACCCUUGAAUUAUGAUCAGCCAAUCUUAACCCCCUAAUUCUACUAAGCUGCUCCAUGCAGACAUGGAAGAAACUAUGCUAAUAUGAGUAAUAAGAGAGCUUAUACCUCUCUCCCUGCACACGUGUAAAUCAGAACGGAUAAUCCACUGAAUAUUAACGGCCUCAAUCAAAGAGAGUACUAAGCGAUAAAAUAAACGACUAGAAAACCACUUAAAUGAAACCGUUGACCCCACACAGGAGUGCUCCCAGGGAAAGACUAAUGGAAAAAGAAGGAACUCGGCAAACACAUUAAGCCUCGCCUGUUUACCAAAAACAUCGCCUCUUGUAAACUAAAGAUAAGAGGUCCCGCCUGCCCUGUGACGCUAAGUUUAACGGCCGCGGUAUUUUGACCGUGCGAAGGUAGCGCAAUCACUUGUCUCUUAAAUGGAGACCUGUAUGAAUGGCAUGACGAGGGCUUUACUGUCUCCUUUUUCAGGUCAAUGAACUUGAUCUUCUCGUGCAGAAGCGGGAAUAGUAACAUAAGACGAGAAGACCCUAUGGAGCUUUAGACACAAGACAGACCACGUUAAGCCUCCUUGCACGGGAGAGAAACUAAAUGCAGCAUCUGUUGUAUGUCUUUGGUUGGGGCGACCGCGGAAAAAAAUUUAACCUCCGCGUGGUACGGGAGUGCGAUCCGAAUAGACUCCUAGAGCCAAGAGCUACAGCUCUAAGCAACAGAACUUUUGACCAGUAUAGAUCCGGCAAAGCCGAUCAACGGACCGAGUUACCCUAGGGAUAACAGCGCAAUCUUCUUUUAGAGUUCAUAUCGACAAGCAGGUUUACGACCUCGAUGUUGGAUCAGGACAUCCUGAUGGUGCAGCCGCUAUCAAGGGUUCGUUUGUUCAACG
rnacentral:rRNA from 1 species